AGGAAAGCAGGGGAUCGCAAGACCUUGCGCUUUUGGAGCGGCCGAUGUCUGAUUAGCUAGUUGGUGAGGUAAAGGCUUACCAAGGCUUCGAUCAGUAGCUGGUCUGAGAGGACGACCAGCCACACUGGGACUGAGACACGGCCCAGACUCCUACGGGAGGCAGCAGUGGGGAAUUUUGGACAAUGGGGGAAACCCUGAUCCAGCCAUGCCGCGUGAGUGAAGAAGGCCUUCGGGUUGUAAAGCUCUUUCAGCCGGAACGAAAAGGUUACGGUUAAUACCCGUGACUAAUGACGGUACCGGAAGAAGAAGCACCGGCUAACUACGUGCCAGCAGCCGCGGUAAUACGUAGGGUGCGAGCGUUAAUCGGAAUUACUGGGCGUAAAGCGUGCGCAGGCGGUCUUGUAAGUCAGAUGUGAAAUCCCCGGGCUCAACCUGGGAACUGCGUUUGAAACUACAAGGCU
rnacentral:rRNA from 1 species